AUACUUACCUGGAUGGGGUCAAUGAGUGAUCAAUAAGGCUCAUGGCCUAAAACUGCGACCUUCAUUGCACAUGGAAGGGGUGCUGUUUUAAGGUCUGCCCUAGUGGCAGAGCCUACAUCAUAAUUUGUGGUAGAGGGGCUUGCGUUCGCGCAGCUCCUAC
rfam:Vigna angularis cultivar Jingnong 6 chromosome 11, whole genome shotgun sequence.